rnacentral:rRNA from 1 species
UACGUAGGGUGCAAGCGUUGUCCGGAAUUAUUGGGCGUAAAGAGCUCGUAGGCGGUUUGUUGCGUCGGCUGUGAAAUCCCGAGGCUCAACCUCGGGUCUGCAGUCGAUACGAGCAAACUAGAGUGUUGCAGGGGAUACUGGAAUUCCUGGUGUAGCGGUGAAAUGCGCAGAUAUCAAGCGGAACACCAGUGGCGAAGGCGAGUCCCUGGACAACUCCUGACACUGAGGCACGAAAGCUAGGGGAGCAAACAGG